rnacentral:rRNA from 1 species
UACGGAGGGUGCGAGCGUUGUCCGGAAUCAUUGGGCGUAAAGGGCGCGUAGGUGGCCCGGUCAGUCCGUGGUGAAAGCGCGGGGCUCAACCCUGCGUCGGCCAUGGAUACUGCCGCGGCUCGAGCACUGUAGAGGCAGGCGGAAUUCCGGGUGUAGCGGUGGAAUGGCGUAGAGAUCCGGAAGAACACCGGUGGCGAAGGCGGC